GAUUCUGACAACAACCUUUUGAGAUAGGAAAGAACAGGUAUUAUUUUCCUAUUUAAAAAUGAGGCAGGUGAAGUUCAGAGAAAAUCAGGAACUAGCCCAAGUUAAUCUAGUUAGCAAGCAGAAGAGGGACUUUUGUUUUGUUUUGCUAUUGAAUCAGAGGAUUUCAACAAAAACCGGAAUUUAUGUGAAGUGAGGUCCAAUUAAGG
rnacentral:lncRNA from 1 species